rnacentral:rRNA from 1 species
CCUACGGGUGGCAGCAGUGAGGAAUAUUGGUCAAUGGGCGGAAGCCUGAACCAGCCAAGUAGCGUGCAGGAUGACGGCCCUACGGGUUGUAAACUGCUUUUAUACGGGAAUAACGCGCCUUACGUGUAGGGCUUUGCAUGUACCGUAUGAAUAAGGACCGGCUAAUUCCGUGCCAGCAGCCGCGGUAAUACGGAAGGUCCGGGCGUUAUCCGGAUUUAAUGGGUGUAAAGGGAGCGUAGGCGGCAUGUCAAGCGUGCUGUGAAAUGUCCGGGCUCAACCCGGGCCUUGCAGCGCGAACUGGCGUGCUUGAGUCCGCGGAGGGCAGGCGGAAUUCGUCGUGUAGCGGUGAAAUGCGUAGAUAUGACGAAGAACCCCGAUUGCGAAGGCAGCUUGCUGCAGCGGAACUGACGCUGAUGCUCGAAAGCGCGGGUAUCGAACAGGAUUAGAUACCCGGGUAGUC